UUAAGAGUGGUGUACCUUUUUCAUCUCUUUUUUAAAACCACAUAACUCUUUCUUGUACUUUUUUUUUACUUUACUAAAAACUUCAUCUCAUCUUUGUUGCGUAAGCCAAAAAAAUUCAAUGUGCUCCUCUACAAAGAUAUAAUCAGUGGUGAUGAACUUCUUUCUGAUACUUUUCCACAUACUGAAAUCGUUGGUGGUUUGAUAUGGAAAGUAGAAUCAAAGUUAAUGUUAGUGCCAACCCCUCGAUCGACAUGAAGCAUAAAGCGGUUGCAAAGGUACGCCGUGGAUCGUCAUCUACCCAACAAGCAAAAGGAACUAUCGAGGACAUUGUUAAGACCUUUAAGUUGCACGUUAGACAUAUAUUGUUUGUUUUUUUGAAAAAAAAAAGUAUGAAUAAUUUCAAAUUCUCACCAAAUCAAAAUAUUUCACAGGUUUUGGGAUAGUUUACACUCCAUUCUCAAUAAAAAUAUAAGUGAUAGGAAAAGAAAAGAUUAAAAAACUCUUCUAUUUUGCAUUCUUGAGUUUCUUUUCAAAAGAAAAGAAAGAGGAAGAAAAGAGAACUUUUGCUUUUUUUAUGUGAAAACUUUCCUCCCAUUUUUAGGAGGAUUUGGAUGAAAAGUUUUUAAAUUAUGUGUAUAAUUA